rnacentral:rRNA from 1 species
AGAGUUUGAUCCUGGCUCAGAUUGAACGCUGGCGGCAUGCCUUACACAUGCAAGUCGAACGGCAGCGCGGGGCAACCUGGCGGCGAGUGGCGAACGGGUGAGUAACAUAUCGGAACAUACCCUAGAGUGGGGGAUAACGUAGCGAAAGUUACGCUAAUACCGCAUACGAUCUACGGAUGAAAGUGGGGGAUUCGCAAGAACCUCAUGCUCAUGGAGUGGCCGAUAUCUGAUUAGCUAGUUGGUGAGGUAAAGGCCCACCAAGGCGACGAUCAGUAGCUGGUUUGAGAGAACGACCAGCCACACUGGAACUGAGACACGGUCCAGACUCCUACGGGAGGCAGCAGUGGGGAAUUUUGGACAAUGGGGGCAACCCUGAUCCAGCAAUGCCGCGUGAGUGAAGAAGGCCUUCGGG